AGCCAAAGGUCCGGUGAUGAUCCCAUACCCUUUUUUCCAGUCUCAUGUUGAAGAUUUUUAUGUAGAAGGCCUUCCCAAAGGAAUUUUUUUUUUUUUUUUUUUUUUGAGAUGGAGUUUUCACUCUUAUCGCCCAGGCUGGGGUGCAAUGGCACAACCUUGCUGGUCACUGCAACCUCUGCCUCCUGGGUUCAAGAAAUUCUCCUGCCUUAGCCUCCCAAGUCACUGGGAUUACAGGUGCCCACCACCACACCAGGCUAAUUUUUGUAUUUUUAGUGGAGAUGCGGUUUCACCAUGUUGGCCGGGCCAGUCUCGAACUCCUGACGUCAAGUGAUCUUCCCGCCUCGACUCCUGAUAUCAAGUGAUCUUCCCGCCUCGGCCUCCCAGAGUGCUGAGAUUACAGACGUGAACCCAUGCCUGGCCAGGAAUUUUGUUUUUUAGGAAGGCUUUCUACUAAUGGAAUUCCUGGCCUUGAGAGGAUGUUACUUUAGAAGGAAAGGAUUUUUUUGUUAUUAAAAGAGCCACCUAAGCUGAAGAUUCCCUUGAGAACAAGUACUGUCCCUAGUUUCCCAGUGCUGGAAUAUAGAAAAUGGAUGGACAACUGGACCUACCAUGAAAGACUUCUGAAUCCAGGAAGAGAAACUGACUGGGCAACAUGUUAUUCAGAAACAGGACCUUGCCCUGUCACUCAGGAUGGAGUUCAGUGGUCCUAUCAUGGCUCAUUAUAGCCUCAAACUCCCAGGCUCAAGCAAUCCUACCAUGUCAGCCUUCCCAGUAGCUGGAACUACAGGUAAGCAUCGUGACACUCAGUGAAUUUUGUUUUUAUUUUGUUGUAGAGAUGGGACCUCAGUAUGUUGCCAUGGCUGACCUUGAACUCCUGCACUCAAGGGAUUUUCCUACCCUGGCCUCCCAAAGUAUUGGUAUUACAGGCAUGAGCCAUUGUGCCCACCGUCUCUGGUUCUUAACCUUCUGCCUCCCUCUUCCAGUUUUAAAGAAUGCUUGUAAUUACAUGGGCUCUCCUAGAUACUCCAGGAUAAUCUUGUUUUAAGGUCAGCUGAUGAGCAACAUUAAUUUUAUCUGCACUCUUAAUUCCCCCUUCCUAUGUAAUUGUGCUGUGUAACAUAGGACAUGAGCAAUUGGUGGCGGUGGGGGUUAUUACUUUGGCCACCACAGUAACUAUUUUAUGCCAGGUACUCAGCUAAGCACUGGUGAAUUAAGCAUGAAUAACACACACUCCUUAAUCUCCAUCCAUUCAUGGGAGGAGCACUUCACCUGCCAUGCUCCUGAGAAUCUCGGGAGU
rnacentral:lncRNA from 10 species